UAUAUCAAGUGGGAGCCUAGCACAGCUG
rnacentral:piRNA from 1 species